CCUACGGGUGGCAGCAGUGGGGAAUAUUGGACAAUGGGGGCAACCCUGAUCCAGCCAUGCCGCGUGUGUGAAGAAGGCCCUCGGGUUGUAAAGCACUUUCAGUGAGGAAGAACGCCUGGUGGUUAAUACCCAUCAGGAAAGACAUCACUCACAGAAGAAGCACCGGCUAACUCCGUGCCAGCAGCCGCGGUAAUACGGAGGGUGCGAGCGUUAAUCGGAAUUACUGGGCGUAAAGCGCGCGUAGGUGGCUUGAUAAGCCGGUUGUGAAAGCCCCGGGCUCAACCUGGGAACGGCAUCCGGAACUGUCAAGCUAGAGUGCAGGAGAGGAAGGUAGAAUUCCCGGUGUAGCGGUGAAAUGCGUAGAGAUCGGGAGGAAUACCAGUGGCGAAGGCGGCCUUCUGGACUGACACUGACACUGAGGUGCGAUAGCGUGGGUAGCAAACAGGAUUAGAUACCCCGGUAGUC
rnacentral:rRNA from 1 species